GUGGGCUGGAGAGACGGCUCAGUGGUUAAG
rnacentral:piRNA from 1 species